rnacentral:rRNA from 1 species
GAGAGUGGGUAGUCCGCACGAGCGCACCCCUGUCCUCUGUUGCCAGCAAGUCAUGUUGGGGACUCAUCGGAGACUGCCGGUGAUAAACCGGAGGAAGGUGGGGAUGACGUCAAGUCAUCAUGCCCCUUAUGUCCAGGGCUGCACGCAUGCUACAAUGGCAAGUACAACGAGUCGCAAUACCGCGAGGUGGAGCAAAUCUCUUAAAGCUUGUCUCAGUUCGGAUAGGAGUCUGCAACUCGACUCCUUGAAGUUGGAGUCGCUAGUAAUCGCAAAUCAGCAAAGUUGCGGUGAAUACGUUCUCGGGGUUUGUACACACCGCCCGUCAAGUCACGGAAGUCGGCAAUACGCGAAGCCAGUGGUCUAACCCUUUGGGGAAGAAGCUGUCGAACGUAGGGUUGGUAACUGGGACUAAGUCGUAACAAGGUAGCCGUACGGGAACGUGCGGCUGGAUCACCUCCUUUCU